CAUGGGGAACAUAUUCAAUGACCCAAGAGGAACCAGGGAGGCUGCUCGUCCCAGAAGGACCUGGAAGGGCCGGUUCCAGAGAGCCCUGGCUCGUGUGUCCAAGUUCUUCAGGCGAGGACGCCGCUCAUUCCGAGGCUGAGUCCACGUGAGUCUGAGACACGGGGCCACGACAGAGAGCAAGACCUUCUGCUGUCCAGGCCCCUCCUCUCCCAAGAAUCUUGUUAAUGAGGUUGAAAUAAAGGCCGGUGUGCUUUACAA